rnacentral:rRNA from 1 species
UACGUAGGUGGCAAGCGUUGUCCGGAUUUACUGGGCGUAAAGAGCGCGCAGGCGGUGGAGCAAGUCUGUUGUGAAAUCUCCCGGCUUAACCGGGAGGGUGCGGCGGAAACUGUUCUGCUGGAGUGAGGGAGAGGCAAGCGGAAUUCCUGGUGUAGCGGUGAAAUGCGUAGAUAUCAGGAGGAACACCUGCGGUGUAGACGGCUUACUGGACCAUAACUGACGCUGAGGCACGAAAGCGUGGGUAGCAAACAGG